rnacentral:rRNA from 1 species
AGACCUACGGGACGCAGCAGUGAGGAAUAUUGGUCAAUGGGCGGGAGCCUGAACCAGCCAAGUCGCGUGAGGGAAGACGGUCCUAUGGAUUGUAAACCUCUUUAGGCGGGGAGCAAUGCCGGGCACGUGUGCCCGGAGGGAGAGUACCCGCAGAAUAAGCAUCGGCUAACUCCGUGCCAGCAGCCGCGGUAAUACGGAGGAUGCGAGCGUUAUCCGGAUUUAUUGGGCGUAAAGCGAGUGCAGGCGGUUCAAUAAGUCUGGUGUGAAAGCCUUCGGCUCCACCGGCGAAUUG